rnacentral:rRNA from 1 species
GGUUAGUAUAGUAUAUUGUACUAGCUGCUUGCUAUCCAAU